GACGAACGCUGGCGGCGUGCUUAACACACGCAAGUCGAACGGAAAGGCCCUGCUUUUGUGGGGUGCUCGAGUGGCGAACGGGUGAGUAACACGUGAGUAACCUGCCCUUGACUUUGGGAUAACUUCAGGAAACUGGGGCUAAUACCGGAUAGGAGCUCCUGCUGCAUGGUGGGGGUUGGAAAGUUUCGGCGGUCGGGGAUGGACUCGCGGCUUAUCAGCUUGUUGGUGGGGUAGUGGCUUACCAAGGCUUUGACGGGUAGCCGGCCUGAGAGGGUGACCGGCCACAUUGGGACUGAGAUACGGCCCAGACUCCUACGGGAGGCAGCAGUGGGGAAUAUUGCACAAUGGGCGGAAGCCUGAUGCAGCAACGCCGCGUGCGGGAUGACGGCCUUCGGGUUGUAAACCGCUUUCGCCUGUGACGAAGCGUGAGUGACGGUAAUGGGUAAAGAAGCACCGGCUAACUACGUG
rnacentral:rRNA from 1 species